rnacentral:rRNA from 1 species
GUACCUUACUACCGAACGGGUGAGUAACGCGUGGGAAUCUACCUAGAAAUGGGGAAUAACUACUGGAAACGGUAGCUAAUACCGCAUAAUCCCUUCGGGGCAAAGGCUUCGGCCGUUUUUAGAUGAGCCCGCGUUAGAUUAGAUUGUUGGUGGGGUAAUGGCCUACCAAAUCUUCUAUCUAUAGCUGGUCUGAGAGGAUGAUCAGCCACACUGGGACUGAGACACGGCCCAGACUCCUACGGGAGGCAGCAGUGGGGAAUAUUGGACAAUGGGGGAAACCCUGAUCCAGCAAUGCCGCGUGAGUGAAGAAGGCCUUAGGGUUGUAAAACUCUUUCAGAAGUGAAGAUGAUGACUGUAACUUCAGAAGAAGCUCCGGCUAACUCCGUGCCAGCAGCCGCGGUAAUACGGAGGGAGCUAGCGUUGUCCGGAAUUACUGGGCGUAAAGGGCGUGUAGGCCGUAUGGUAAGUCACAGGUGAAAUCCCUAAGCUUAACU